rfam:Echinostoma caproni strain Egypt genome assembly, scaffold: ECPE_scaffold0000920
GCACUGUUGACGAGUCCCAAAUAGGACGAAACAGCUGUCCAGUGC